rnacentral:rRNA from 1 species
UACGUAGGGGGCAAGCGUUGUCCGGAAUCAUUGGGCGUAAAGAGCUUGUAGGUGGUUUGUCGCGUUGUUCGUGAAAUCUCACGGCUCAACUGUGAGCGUGCGGGCGAUACGGGCAGACUAGAGUACUGCAGGGGAGACUGGAAUUCCUGGUGUAGCGGUGGAAUGCGCAGAUAUCAGGAGGAACACCGGUGGCGAAGGCGGGUCUCUGGGCAGUAACUGACGCUGAGAAGCGAAAGCGUGGGGAGCGAACAGG